UACGAAGGGGGCUAGCGUUGCUCGGAAUUACUGGGCGUAAAGCGCACGUAGGCGGAUUGUUAAGUCGGGGGUGAAAUCCUGGAGCUCAACUCCAGAACUGCCUUCGAUACUGCGGGUCUCGAGUCCGGGAGAGGUGAGUGGAAUUCCUAGUGUAGAGGUGAAAUUCGUAGAUAUUAGGAAGAACACCAGUGGCGAAGGCGGCUCACUGGCCCGGUACUGACGCUGAGGCGCGAAAGCGUGGGGAGCAAACAGG
rnacentral:rRNA from 1 species